GAUGAACGCUGGCGGCGUGCCUAAUACAUGCAAGUCGAGCGAACAGACGAGGAGCUUGCUCCUCUGACGUUAGCGGCGGACGGGUGAGUAACACGUGGAUAACCUACCUAUAAGACUGGGAUAACUUCGGGAAACCGGAGCUAAUACCGGAUAAUAUAUUGAACCGCAUGGUUCAAUAGUGAAAGACGGUUUUGCUGUCACUUCUAGAUGGAUCCGCGCCGCAUUAGCUAGUUGGUAAGGUAACGGCUUUCCAAGGCGACGAUGCGUAGCCGACCUGAGAGGGGGAUGGGCCACACUGGAACUGAGACACGGUCCAGACUCCUACGGGAGGCAGCGGUAGGGAAGCGUCCGCAAUGGGCGAAAGCCUGACGAAGCAACGCCGCGGGGGUGAUGAAGGUCUUCGGAUCGUAAAACUCUGUUAUUGGGGAAGAACAAAUGUGUAAGUAACUAUGCACGUCUUGAGGGUACCGAAUCAGAAGGCCACGGCUAACUACGU
rnacentral:rRNA from 1 species